GGUACCAUAGCCAAGUGGUUACGGCGACAGAUUAGAAUGAUGACUUCGUUGUAAGAGAUUUUCUAAGUUAUCUGUUCCUCUUUGAGGGCGCAGGUUCGAAUCCUGCUGGUAUCG